rnacentral:misc_RNA from 1 species
AAACUGCGAUAAUUAAUGUGAAUUGCAGAAUUCUGUGAAUCAUCAAGACCUUGAACGCAAACUGCGCCUACGGGUCCACCUGUAGGCACGCUUGUUUGAGUGUCGAUUCAUUCACUAUCCUUUUUCCUCUUUCCAUGGGAGGAAGAAAAAAAAGGGAAUUGGAGGUGUGGUGUUUUUAAAAAAAUCACUCCUUUUAAGUUUAUCUUCGAACUUUGCUUUUCAAAAAAAAACGAUCAAUCUUUAGCAAAGAGGUCCCAGCCAGUAGGUACCAAUACGUUGGUUUAUCGAAAAGCUCAUAUCUCUCUUGCCUAACUUUUGACUUACGUUUUGGAGCAAAAUUUUUUAACAAGUUCGAAAAAAGGAAAGAAUCACAAAAGAUUUUUUUUUGAGGAAGGUUUUCCUCUCCUCAACCAAUUUCGACCUCAAAUCAAGUGGGAUUACCCGCUGAAUUUAAGC